GGGUUGUGAGGUUAAGCGACUAAGCGUACACGGUGGAUGCCCUGGCAGUCAGAGGCGAUGAAGGACGUGCUAAUCUGCGAAAAGCGUCGGUAAGGUGAUAUGAACCGUUAUAACCGGCGAUGUCCGAAUGGGGAAACCCAGUGCAAUUCGUUGCACUAUCGUUAACUGAAUACAUAGGUUAACGAGGCGAACCGGGGGAACUGAAACAUCUAAGUACCCCGAGGAAAAGAAAUCAACCGAGAUUCCCCCAGUAGCGGCGAGCGAACGGGGAGCAGCCCAGAGUCUGAAUCAGCUUGUGUGUUAGUGGAACGGUCUGGAAAGUCCGACGGUACAGGGUGAUAGUCCCGUACACCAAAAUGCACAGGCUGUGAACUCGAAGAGUAGGGCGGGACACGUGGUAUCCUGUCUGAAUAUGGGGGGACCAUCCUCCAAGGCUAAAUACUCCUGACUGACCGAUAGUGAACCAGUACCGUGAGGGAAAGGCGAAAAGAACCCCGGCGAGGGGAGUGAAAAAGAACCUGAAACCGUGUACGUACAAGCAGUGGGAGCACCUUCGGGUGUGACUGCGUACCUUUUGUAUAAUGGGUCAGCGACUUAUAUUCUGUAGCAAGGUUAACCGUAUAGGGGAGCCGCAGGGAAACCGAGUCUUAACUGGGCGUUAAGUUGCAGGGUAUAGACCCGAAACCCGGUGAUCUAGCCAUGGGCAGGUUGAAGGUUGGGUAACACUAACUGGAGGACCGAACCGACUAAUGUUGAAAAAUUAGCGGAUGACUUGUGGCUGGGGGUGAAAGGCCAAUCAAACCGGGAGAUAGCUGGUUCUCCCCGAAAGCUAUUUAGGUAGCGCCUCGUGAACUCAUCUUCGGGGGUAGAGCACUGUUUCGGCUAGGGGGUCAUCCCGACUUACCAACCCGAUGCAAACUACGAAUACCGAAGAAUGUUAUCACGGGAGACACACGGCGGGUGCUAACGUCCGUCGUGAAGAGGGAAACAACCCAGACCGCCAGCUAAGGUCCCAAAGUCAUGGUUAAGUGGGAAACGAUGUGGGAAGGCACAGACAGCCAGGAUGUUGGCUUAGAAGCAGCCAUCAUUUAAAGAAAGCGUAAUAGCUCACUGGUCGAGUCGGCCUGCGCGGAAGAUGUAACGGGGCUAAACCAUGCACCGAAGCUGCGGCAGCGACACUAUGUGUUGUUGGGUAGGGGAGCGUUCUGUAAGCCUGCGAAGGUGUGCUGUGAGGCAUGCUGGAGGUAUCAGAAGUGCGAAUGCUGACAUAAGUAACGAUAAAGCGGGUGAAAAGCCCGCUCGCCGGAAGACCAAGGGUUCCUGUCCAACGUUAAUCGGGGCAGGGUGAGUCGACCCCUAAGGCGAGGCCGAAAGGCGUAGUCGAUGGGAAACAGGUUAAUAUUCCUGUACUUGGUGUUACUGCGAAGGGGGGACGGAGAAGGCUAUGUUAGCCGGGCGACGGUUGUCCCGGUUUAAGCAUGUAGGCUGGUUGUCCAGGCAAAUCCGGAUAAUCAAGGCUGAGGUGUGAUGACGAGGCACUACGGUGCUGAAGUAACAAAUGCCCUGCUUCCAGGAAAAGCCUCUAAGCAUCAGGUAACAUUAAAUCGUACCCCAAACCGACACAGGUGGUCAGGUAGAGAAUACCAAGGCGCUUGAGAGAACUCGGGUGAAGGAACUAGGCAAAAUGGUGCCGUAACUUCGGGAGAAGGCACGCUGGUGUGUAGGUGAAGUCCCUGCGGAUGGAGCUGAGACCAGUCGAAGAUACCAGCUGGCUGCAACUGUUUAUUAAAAACACAGCACUGUGCAAACACGAAAGUGGACGUAUACGGUGUGACGCCUGCCCGGUGCCGGAAGGUUAAUUGAUGGGGUUAUCCGUAAGGAGAAGCUCUUGAUCGAAGCCCCGGUAAACGGCGGCCGUAACUAUAACGGUCCUAAGGUAGCGAAAUUCCUUGUCGGGUAAGUUCCGACCUGCACGAAUGGCGUAAUGAUGGCCAGGCUGUCUCCACCCGAGACUCAGUGAAAUUGAACUCGCUGUGAAGAUGCAGUGUACCCGCGGCAAGACGGAAAGACCCCGUGAACCUUUACUAUAGCUUGACACUGAACAUUGAGCCUUGAUGUGUAGGAUAGGUGGGAGGCUUUGAAGCGUGGACGCCAGUCUGCGUGGAGCCAACCUUGAAAUACCACCCUUUAAUGUUUGAUGUUCUAACGUUGGCCCCUUACCGGGGUUGCGGACAGUGUCUGGUGGGUAGUUUGACUGGGGCGGUCUCCUCCCAAAGCGUAACGGAGGAGCACGAAGGUUAGCUAAUCCUGGUCGGACAUCAGGAGGUUAGUGCAAUGGCAUAAGCUAGCUUGACUGCGAGCGUGACGGCGCGAGCAGGUGCGAAAGCAGGUCAUAGUGAUCCGGUGGUUCUGAAUGGAAGGGCCAUCGCUCAACGGAUAAAAGGUACUCCGGGGAUAACAGGCUGAUACCGCCCAAGAGUUCAUAUCGACGGCGGUGUUUGGCACCUCGAUGUCGGCUCAUCACAUCCUGGGGCUGAAGUAGGUCCCAAGGGUAUGGCUGUUCGCCAUUUAAAGUGGUACGCGAGCUGGGUUUAGAACGUCGUGAGACAGUUCGGUCCCUAUCUGCCGUGGGCGCUGGAGAAUUGAGGGGGGCUGCUCCUAGUACGAGAGGACCGGAGUGGACGCAUCACUGGUGUUCGGGUUGUCAUGCCAAUGGCACUGCCCGGUAGCUAAAUGCGGAAGAGAUAAGUGCUGAAAGCAUCUAAGCACGAAACUUGCCCCGAGAUGAGUUCUCCCUGAGACUAUAAGUCUCCUGAAGGAACGUUAAAGACGAUGACGUUGAUAGGCCGGGUGUGUAAGCGCAGCGAUGCGUUGAGCUAACCGGUACUAAUGAACCGUGAGGCUUAACCUUACAACGCCGAAG
rnacentral:rRNA from 1 species